GAUGAACGCUGGCGGCGUGCCUAAUACAUGCAAGUCGAGCGAACGGACGAGGAGCUUGCUCCUUUGACGUUAGCGGCGGACGGGUGAGUAACACGUGGAUAACCUACCUAUAAGACUGGGAUAACUUCGGGAAACCGGAGCUAAUACCGGAUAAUAUAUUGAACCGUAUGGUUCAAUAGUGAAAGACGGUUUUGCUGUCACUUAUAGAUGGAUCCGCGCCGCAUUAGCUAGUUGGUAAGGUAACGGCUUACCAAGGCAACGAUGCGUAGCCGACCUGAGAGGGUGAUCGGCCACACUGGAACUGAGACACGGUCCAGACUCCUACGGGAGGCAGCAGUAGGGAAUCUUCCGCAAUGGGCGAAAGCCUGACGGAGCAACGCCGCGUGAGUGAUGAAGGUCUUCGGAUCGUAAAACUCUGUUAUUAGGGAAGAACAAAUGUGUAAGUAACUAUGCACGUCUUGACGGUACCUAAUCAGAAAGCCACGGCUAACUACGUG
rnacentral:rRNA from 1 species